UGCAAGUCGAGCGGACAGAUGGGAGCUUGCUCCCUGAUGUUAGCGGCGGACGGGUGAGUAACACGUGGGUAACCUGCCUGUAAGACUGGGAUAACUCCGGGAAACCGGGGCUAAUACCGGAUGGUUGUUUGAACCGCAUGGUUCAGACAUAAAAGGUGGCUUCGGCUACCACUUACAGAUGGACCCGCGGCGCAUUAGCUAGUUGGUGAGGUAACGGCUCACCAAGGCAACGAUGCGUAGCCGACCUGAGAGGGUGAUCGGCCACACUGGGACUGAGACACGGCCCAGACUCCUACGGGAGGCAGCAGUAGGGAAUCUUCCGCAAUGGACGAAAGUCUGACGGAGCAACGCCGCGUGAGUGAUGAAGGUUUUCGGAUCGUAAAGCUCUGUUGUUAGGGAAGAACAAGUGCCGUUCAAAUAGGGCGGCACCUUGACGGUACCUAACCAGAAAGCCACGGCUAACUACGUGCCAGCAGCCGCGGUAAUACGUAGGUGGCAAGCGUUGUCCGGAAUUAUUGGGCGUAAAGGGCUCGCAGGCGGUUUCUUAAGUCUGAUGUGAAAGCCCCCGGCUCAACCGGGGAGGGUCAUUGGAAACUGGGGAACUUGAGUGCAGAAGAGGAGAGUGGAAUUCCACGUGUAGCGGUGAAAUGCGUAGAGAUGUGGAGGAACACCAGUGGCGAAGGCGACUCUCUGGUCUGUAACUGACGCUGAGGAGCGAAAGCGUGGGGAGCGAACAGGAUUAGAUACCCUGGUAGUCCACGCCGUAANCGAUGAGUGCUAAGUGUUAGGGGGUUUCCGCCCCUUA
rnacentral:rRNA from 1 species